rnacentral:tRNA from 1 species
AAUUUGAGUAGUUUAAUUUUAAAAUAAAGAUUUGUGGAUUCUUUGACAUCUACUAGUAGAUCUUAAGUUU